GUGGGGAAUAUUGGACAAUGGGCGAAAGCCUGAUCCAGCCAUGCCGCGUGUGUGAAGAAGGUCUUCGGAUUGUAAAGCACUUUAAGUUGGGAGGAAGGGCAGUAAGUUAAUACCUUGCUGUUUUGACGUUACCGACAGAAUAAGCACCGGCUAACUUCGUGCCAGCAGCCGCGGUAAUACGAAGGGUGCAAGCGUUAAUCGGAAUUACUUGGCGGAAAGCGCGCGUAGGUGGUUUUGUAAGUUGGAGGUGAAAUCCCCGGGCUCAACCUGGGAACUGCCUCCAAAACUGCAUGACUAGAGUACGGUAGAGGGUAGUGGAAUUUCCUGUGUAGCGGUGAAAUGCGUAGAUAUAGGAAGGAACACCAGUGGCGAAGGCGACUACCUGGACUGAUACUGACACUGAGGUGCGAAAGCGUGGGGAGCAAACAGGAUUAGAUACCCUUGUAGUCC
rnacentral:rRNA from 1 species